AGAGUUUGAUCAUGGCUCAGGAUGAACGCUGGCGGCGCGCUUAACACAUGCAAGUCGAACGGUUAAAGCACCUCCGGGUGUGCAUAAAGUGGCGAACGGCUGAGUAACACGUGGGCAACCUGCCCCCCGCACCGGGAUAGCCUCGGGAAACCGUGGGUAAUACCGGAUACUCCGCCACCCCCGCAUGGGGGAGGCGGGAAAGCGUACACGGCGGGGGAUGGGCCCGCGGCCUGUUAGCUCGUUGGCGGGGUAACGGCCCACCAAGGCGAUUAUGGGUAGCCGGGUUGAGAGACCGACCGGCCAGAUUGGGACUGAGACACGGCCCAGACUCCUACGGGAGGCAGCAGUGGGGAAUCUUGCACAAUGGGCGAAAGCCUGAUGCAGCCGACGCCGCGUGCGGGAUGAAGGCCCUCGGGUUGUAAACCGCUUUCAGCAGGGACGAGGCGCAAGUGACGGUACCUCAUGAAUAAGCCACGGCUAACUACGUGCCAGCCGCCGC
rnacentral:rRNA from 1 species